rnacentral:sRNA from 1 species
ACCUACCACACGCAUGCUCCGUGGCUCCCGUGUGCCAUGCACACUCAUCUGGUGACUGGCCGCCACGUUUUGCCGGCC